UGGGUUUUGGCAUUUAUGUAGGGGCUUUUUUAUUCCAGCAGCUACAGAUGAGCCUGGCCUGCUGUGAAAAGCAAGGGGGUGGAGUUGCUUCUGUGUUUGAGUUUAAGCAUUAGGCCCCAAGGGUGCUUCGAAAGGUUCAUGGAGCCUUAGGAAACAUCUUGGUUUCCUUUUCCAACAAAACCAACAGUUGCUGACAGAUGAAUAUCUUGGCUUGGCUUGAGAAGUUCGUGGCAUGGAAGCUGAGCAUUUAUGAGUUUAACAUUAGAGAGAAAGAGGGCUUAUAUUUCCCAUGAGAAACAGGGGUUCAAAGUAAGGGGAGAGGGAAUUUUGAGAGACAGAAAAGAGGAAAAGAUGAGGGUGGAAGAAUGAGUGGUUUUAGCAAAUUUUCGGCAGCUUGACAAAAGCUUUGUCAGGCUUUUGCAUGCUUUGCCAGAAGAGAAAAGGGGAAGGAAGAGCUCAAAAUUGAAGAGUUCCAAUAGUGAGAGGGGAUGCUUGCUCUCUCUGAAUGGUUAUGGAUGUAAAGAAUUUCUCAACCCUUAAGUGCAUGCUAGCCAUCAUGAAAACAUUUGAUUUGCAUGAGCUCGUAGCAUGACCUUCUUGGUAUUUGAUUGAAUCAUGGUGCAACAAACUUGGGGCAUCAUUUUGCUGCAAUGGUGACCAUUUGGCAUGAUGGCGCAUGGCUUCUUCUCCCUACAACUCUUUCUUCUCUUUUCAAGAUUCAAACCCGUGGGUACUGUGCAUCAGUAUAUAAGUCAUAUUUUGGAAGCUCGGAUCAGAAAAGUUCCUUGAUGAAAGUUGUUCAUCUGCUCAAGUACUAUAGACUGUAAAAUUUGUAGAAUUUGUAGAAUUUUUCUGAUGCCUAAAAGUUGGUCUGUAGCUUCAGUGUUCAUCCAUGGCUGGUGAGUUUCUUCAGAUUUUGUUUCUACAUGUGUUUUUAAUUUUUGAUACUUGGAUGAUUGCACUUGCUUCACAAAAUAUGCUCGAAAUUAUGUUGUUUAUAACAUAUCCAAAAUUGAAGAUUAUCCAACAAUUGUAGUGUUCUCUGCCUUCAUUUUUCUGAAGCAUGUUCUUGAAUUGAUGUUGAUGCCUUUGCUGCUUGCUUGUUUUCUAUGCUUGAAUGCUUGAGCUCCUCUGUAUUUCCCAGAAUUUGUGAACUAGAAGUCAAAUUCUGAGGUUGAGCUUCUGGUUUAGGAUUCUAGCUUGGUGAUAAACAAGAGUCAUACAAGCUCACUUGGGUAAUGCAUGCCAAGUGUUUGUCAAAAUAUCUCAAAGUAGCUUGUGGGCUGUUCUUUGAACUUUCGAAAUGUUUUUCUUGGAAUCUGAGUUGGACAUGAAAACAGACUUCUCAAUGGCUGUGUUGGAACUGGUCUUGUGCCAUUUGAAGGAAAAAUGAAUUUUUGGUGCAAUUUCAAAGGGCUAAGCUGCUGGAAUUUUCUAGUUUCUGUCGCAUAGCAUGUUUUGAGAAUCUGUUUGACAUGCUUCCCUAGCUCUAAAUGCAAAGAAAUUUUAGAAAAGUGAAGCUUGAUAUAUCUAGUUCUAAUCUGGUAAGUUUGAGAUCUGUUGGUUGUAAGCUUGAUUUCUAGUGAUUUUCCAAAGGUGGAAUGUUCUAGCUAGAAUAGUUGGAAAGCUUGUGUAUAAGUUUUGCUUGGCAUGUUGCUUUUGUUUGAGAAUUUAGCAUAUCCUUUCUAUUGGCAUUGAGUGCUGAUCUGGGCAUUGCUAGAGCAUGAUCUUGAUCAAUAUUGUCGUGAGAGCAUGAUUUUGUAUGGUAUUGUCGCAAGAGCAUGGGUUCUUCAAUUUGCUUAAAAUGCCUGAAUUGCUUGGAAUGCAUGAAUGAAAUGAAAUUUCUUGGCAUGUGGAUUGAUUUUAUGCCAUGUGAAUUCAUCAAAUGUUUGGUUGAUGAGUUUGCUUGCUGCUUAUGCAUCAUUUUUCUACUUUGCAGGAGUUUUUUUUUUUUUUUUUUUGGGGAAGAAAAUGAGAGCAAUGAUGCAAGUCCAGGUGCUCAGACAAUCAUCUUUAUAAAAACGAGCAUCUCAAGUUUGCCUGAGAAGAAUGAUGACGAUGAGGAGGCUAUGACUUACAAGGGAAAUGAUAGAUUUGAAUGAUAAGAAAAUAUGAGGAAUUGGAUGAGGAGCGAUAUUUGUUGGAUGUUGCAGGUGAAGAAUAGAUGAAUGUAGGAAAAUAUUCUUCUGGCAUCUUUUCUUUUUCACGAGUACCUUACCAGCAUCUGUAUCUUUUUCAGACAUGAAGCACAGACACUAGCAGGAAGUUUGAAAUCGGGUAUGUGCUAAAAGGAAGUUUGAAAUUGGGCAUGUGCUGGAAGGAAGUUUGAAAUCUGGCUUGUGCUGGAAGGAUGUUUGAAAUAGGGCAUGUGCUGGAAGGAUGUUUGGAAUAAGGCAAGUGCUGGAAAUUCUUUGCUUGUGGUGCUAGAAGAAUGUAACUUGGCUUGGAAUGAUAUAGCUUAGACUUGCUCUCAGGAUGUAGAUAAUGUAAUCAAGAUUUAGCUUGGUUUGGCAUGAGAAUGGAAUAAAGUUGAGUCAUAUAAUUCCUAGGAAUCAAGAGGUCCUGUUUGAUCACUUACAGCACUUGAUUGCAUGAGUCUGAGUGGUAGCAGGUUUUAACAUGGGUAAGCCCCUAAGAGGUUGAGGUCUCGAAAAGGCAUAAUAUUUGGCAAUGAAUUGCAUAAUAGAUUUUUGACAAAGGUUAGGUGUGCUGAUUACUAGUGGAAACUCAGAUGUAGAUGGCUUGUUGAGUUGGCAGUACUUGGCUUAUUUCAAAAAGGGGAAAUAGAAAACUGUUUGUCACCACAAUGCAUGAUUGUCUAGGCUUGUUGUAAUCAAAGAGAUGAUUUAUACUAUAUGGCAGAAAAGGUGGGUGGGUUUGCUUAUUUGGAUGGCAUGGUGUCCUUCUCCAAGUCAGCUUGUUGGGGUCAACAAUUGGUUGCAGAGUUGGGUUAUGCACUUUUUGGCUUACUCGAGGUCGAGAAACAGAGUAAAGGCCUGCUUGUUUUUUUGUUUUUUUUGUUUGGUUUGGUUUCUUCUUGCAAUUUGCUUCAAACAAACAAUUUGCUUUCCUCCAUGAGAAAAACUGAAAUUUACAGCAGCU